UACGUAGGUGGCAAGCGUUGUCCGGAUUUACUGGGCGUAAAGAGCGCGCAGGCGGUCGUUCAAGUCGCGUGUGAAAGCCCCCGGCUCAACUGGGGAGGGUCACGCGAUACUGAUCGACUCGAAGGCAGGAGAGGGUAGUGGAAUUCCCGGUGUAGUGGUGAAAUGCGUAGAUAUCGUUUGGAACGCCAAUGGUGAAAACAGCUCGCUGGGGAUGUACCGACGCUGAGACACGAAAGCCAGGGGAGCGAACGGG
rnacentral:rRNA from 1 species